GACCUCCCUUGUGGACAAACUGACAUGGGCUCUGCCGAUACGGAACUUACAGCCACAGGAGGAAGACCGGCAUUAAACCAAAAUGGCUAUUAAUCAACUUCAAGUGUGCAGUGUGCUAUGAAGUACUGCAUGGUACGAUGCAAAUGACUAAAAGGAGAGCUCUUUCUUCUGGAUGGUCAGGGAAGGUUUUCCUGAGGAUGUGAUGUUUAAGGCAGACUCUGACGUUGAAAGAGCCUUUCAGACAAUCGGUAGAGCAUAUCCAAAAGCUGUAGGCAGGCAAAGCAUUGUGUUUUAACGAGUUAAGAGAAAUCCAGUGCCAUUGGAGCCAACAGAAUAAGGGCUAGUGCUGUACAAGAGGAGAUGGAGGGGUGACUAGGGCUAGGCGAGACAGGGCCUUGUAGGCCGUGGAAGGAUCGUGGCAUGCCCAUAUUUACAGUUUUAUUUUUAUUAAAAAGUUUUUUCCUAAUGUUUAUUUUUGAGACAGGGCAAGACAGAGCAUGAGCAGGGGAGGGGCAGAGAGAGAGGGAGACACAGAACCUGAAGCAGGAUCCAGGCUCUGAGCUGUCGGCGGGGCUCGAACCCACGAACGCGGCAUCCUGACCUGAGCUGAAGUCAGAUGCUUGACCGACUGAGCCACCCAGCUGCCCUGAGGUGUUGAAGGAUUCUAAGCAGGGUUUACGAAAAUGGGGACAUGUUCUGAAUUCCAGGUCGUCAGCUGUCAGCACAGAGCCGGAUGUGGGGCUCGAACUCAUCAAAAGUGACAUCGUGACCUGAGUUGAAGUCAGACGCUCGACCAACUGAGCCACCCAGGCGCCAACCCCCCGCCCCUCCGUAUUUAUACUCUUAAAGAUCACGUAGGCUAUAGUGGAUGAAAGAAUGGAUUGAGGUGCAACAGAAGAUGGCAAGAGACCAGUUAGAAGGAUACCGCAACAGCCCGGUGUUGAAGAGAUUCUGUGUCUCCAGGGAGUCGGAGUGACUUGAUAUCUCAGAGCAGUUCUGCAGUGUGUAUGCAGUGGUUCUUCAUGGAGCGCGGUGAGUCCUAUGAACAGACAGAGAACAAGAGCAUAUUAGAGAUCAGCUGAAGUGCAGCCCUCUCAUUUUACAUAGGAGGAAUUGGGCAUGGAAAGAUGAAGCAAUUUUCCCAAAUCCACAGAGCUACUUCGUGGCAGAUCUAGGCCUGCAACUUUGGGGUCAGGUGUCUCCGAGGCUGUGCUGUCCCGUUCGAAUGCAUCGAAUCAGCCACAGUGCCCAUAAUUGAGAGCUUCUUCCGGCCAGGAGGGUACCUUCUCCACUUCUCACUACAAUCUUUAAAGGAGGCCUUAUCACUCCCAUUUCCCAGGUCUUCAAGUCAUGGCAGAGACAAAAGCCUUGGCAACUGGGUAACUCCCUGAACGAUAGAUAAUCCAGUGUUGGAUCUCCUGACUCUACCAUAUAUCAAUGGAUGGCCACGGGCAAGUUGCUGAACUUCUCUGAGCCUCAGGUUUCUCAUCUGCUUUCGGAAUAAGUGGAGGGAGAAGAAGGUGAAAAGAGUUGGAACUGACGAUAAAACUCCAGCGCCCUGGAGAGGGGGCCUUCCUGGAAGCUACAUAAGUCUCCCUGAUGGAAGGAAAUCUUAGCGACUUUGGAAACGACUCAAGUUUGCUGUCAUGUUCACAUGUGGUGGUCGUGACGGUCAGGGCCAGGGGGAGGCUGCACCUUAGUGAACAGCUUGGGUGAAUGAGGGCUGUACUAAACUCACCGAUGUGAGAAAUGCCAAGUUUUCCAGAUAAUAGGUGGCACCUUAGAUGUCAGAGUCCACUACAAAUAUUAAUAGAAACUGAUAAGAUCAUGAUUUGGAGAAAAACAGAAGAGCAGCAAGUAGAUUGUGACAAGUUGCUGUGUAAUUACCUUUCAUCUUUUGGGGUAAAGGAGAACUGAAUAAAGCCACUCACGUUACCUA